GGAAGAACAAGUACCGGAGUAACUGCCGGUACCUUGACGGUACCUAACCAGAAAGCCACGGCUAACUACGUGCCAGCAGCCGCGGUAAUACGUAGGUGGCAAGCGUUGUCCGGAAUUAUUGGGCGUAAAGCGCGCGCAGGCGGUCCUUUAAGUCUGAUGUGAAAGCCCACGGCUCAACCGUGGAGGGUCAUUGGAAACUGGGGGACUUGAGUGCAGAAGAGGAAAGCGGAAUUCCACGUGUAGCGGUGAAAUGCGUAGAGAUGUGGAGGAACACCAGUGGCGAAGGCGGCUUUCUGGUCUGUAACUGACGCUGAGGCGCGAAAGCGUGGGGAGCAAACAGGAUUAGAUACCCUGGUAGUCCACGCCGUAAACGAUGAGUGCUAAGUGUUAGAGGGUUUCCGCCCUUUAGUGCUGCAGCUAACGCAUUAAGCACUCCGCCUGGGGAGUACGGCCGCAAGGCUGAAACUCAAAGAAAUUUGACGG
rnacentral:rRNA from 1 species